UCGGAUUAAUAUUCCAUAAAGUCAAUUUAAGGCAUCUUUUAUUGAUUAAAGCUCCGGCGGUUAGAGAUGGGCAUGCGUGUCAUUAGCUAGUUGGUGAGGUAACGGCUCACCAAGGCCACGAUGACUAGGGGGUCUGAGAGGAUGAUCCCCCACACUGGUACUGAGACACGGACCAGACUCCUACGGGAGGCAGCAGUGAGGAAUAUUGGGCAAUGGACGCAAGUCUGACCCAGCCAUGCCGCGUGCAGGAUGACUGCCCUAUGGGUUGUAAACUGCUUUUGUUUGGGAAGAAACCCCCGAUCGUGAUCGGGGCUGACGGUACCAUACGAAUAAGCAUCGGCUAACUCCGUGCCAGCAGCCGCGGUAAUACGGAGGAUGCAAGCGUUAUCCGGAUUCAUUGGGUUUAAAGGGUGCGCAGGCGGAAUAUUAAGUCAGUGGUGAAAUCCUGCAGCUCAACUGUAGAACUGCCAUUGAUACUGAUAUUCUUGAAUAUAGUUGAGGUAGGCGGAAUGUGUAAUGUAGCGGUGAAAUGCUUAGAUAUUACACAGAACACCAAUUGCGAAGGCAGCUCACUAAACUAAUAUUGACGCUGAGGCACGAAAGCGUGGGUAGCAAACAGGAUUAGAUACCCUGGUAGUCCACGCUGUAAACUAUGAUCACUCGCUGUUGGCAAUACAUCGUCAGCGGCUGAGCGAAAGCAUUAAGUGAUCCACCUGGGGAGUACGGUCGCAAGAUUGAAACUCAAAGGAAUUGACGGGGGCCCGCACAAGCGGAGGAACAUGUGGUUUAAUUCGAUGAUACGCGAGGAACCUUACCUGGGCUUAAAUGCAGAGCGACGUCCGCCGAAAGGUGGAUUCCUUCGGGCGAUCUGCAAGGUGCUGCAUGGUUGUCGUCAGCUCGUGCCGUGAGGUGCCGGGUUAAGUCCCAUAACGAGCGCAACCCUUAUCGUUAGUUGCCAGCGGGUAAUGCCGGGGACUCUAACGAAACUGCCGGUGUAAACCGUGAGGAAGGUGGGGAUGACGUCAAAUCAGCACGGCCCUUAUGUCCAGGGCUACACACGUGUUACAAUGGUCGGUACAGAGGGCAGCUACCACGCGAGUGGAUGCUAAUCUCGAAAACCGGUCUCAGUUCGGAUUGAAGUCUGCAACUCGACUUCAUGAAGCUGGAUUCGCUAGUAAUCGCGCAUCAGCCAUGGCGCGGUGAAU
rnacentral:rRNA from 1 species